rnacentral:tRNA from 1 species
UCCCUGGUGGCUCAGUGGUAAAGAACCUGCCUGCCAAUGCAGGAGACCCAGGUUCAAGCCCUGGGUGGGGAA